rnacentral:rRNA from 1 species
UACGGAGGGGGCUAGCGUUGUUCGGAAUUACUGGGCGUAAAGCGCACGUAGGCGGCUUUGCAAGUUAGAGGUGAAAGCCCGGGGCUCAACCCCGGAAUUGCCUUUAAAACUGCAUCGCUUGAAUUGUGGAGAGGUAAGUGGAAUUCCGAGUGUAGAGGUGAAAUUCGUAGAUAUUCGGAAGAACACCAGUGGCGAAGGCGACUUACUGGACACAUAUUGACGCUGAGGUGCGAAAGCGUGGGGAGCAAACAGGG